AGUGACCAGAAGACAGGAGUGCGAGCUUUCUGUUAUGCCCGGGUAGGGCCACCAGAGGGCUCCUUGGUCUAGUGGUAACGCCA
rnacentral:miRNA from 1 species